CACUGGUGGUUUCCAGUUUGCCCACGAAACAAAGAAAGGCCUUGCCCAUCCUGAAUUGGGCUGUGGUACAUCUCCUCAGUGUGUAAAGUGCUCAGCACCAAACAGUACUGCAGACUCCAGCUAUCAUCCAGGCCAGGCGUGGGCCACACGAACGACAAGUCUCUGCAAACUCUGCACCUGGCCGCCUGCCACCCAUCUAUCUUGCGCUAAGAAUGCAAAUGUCUCCAGUACAUAUUAAUGUAUACAUUUGAACUGAAAAAUGAAAUCCGAAGUUUUCCUUUCUUACAAAAAGUUAUGAUCUAGCUAUUUGCUUUUUGCCAAAUUACAUUAUAAGGUGGCUAUUUUUCAUAAAUUAAAUAACCCAGAUCUGCAACUUCAAGGUUUUGAUGAACAAUAUUUAAAGUGUAUACAUCAUAUUCAAUACACCAGACAUUUUAUCCUUUAUAACUAUGUCAACUUGUGAUGUAACAUUUUGGACGUCAAUAUCAAAUGCUUAAUAGUGAAAGCAUUUUAAAAUGCUUAAAAAUAUUUGAAAGGCGACAUGGUUUUCCAAAAUUCUUUUAGAAGCUAGUCAGACAAGAAAUGUUGAAGGCCAUUGCCUGAGUCCACCCCUCACACUUCAGUGAGGCACAGAAGAGGACUGGUCAAUAGCGACUGAUGGGGACAGUUUCCUCAGAGCAAGAGUUGUCUUGCGAGCCUGCUCUGUGGCCCUAGAUCUUCGGGAGAGAGUGACCUCAGGCCUCUGGACAGAUGCUUACUGCGCAACAGGAAUCUGAGUCAUGGUGACCAAACUAACUGGAACCUCUCAGGAAGGGAGCCCUUGAGGGAGCCUGACAUGAACCCAGGAGCUGGAGACACUGUGUUGAUGCCUGGAGCGCAUCUGCAGAGGCCCGAAGGCAGACUCUUUACCACUGGUGCCACCUGGAAGGUGCAGUUCACGGAUGUGUCAACUCAGAGAGGAUCAUAAACAUCAGGAUGAUCACGUGUAUGCCUCCAACACUUCACCACAGGCCUGGCCUGUUGUAGGCCCACAAAUACAUUUUUUGAAAUAAUGAAUGGGUGAGUGCAUGAGUGCAUGGAGUGGGUGGAUAGAUGGAGAUUUCAGAAUAGAUCGUCAAGAUAAUCUCCUUUGGAAAGGGUAGAGUUGGGAAAAGUCCUUCAUCUGCAUUUGUUACACUGUUACAGACAUAAGUGUUUCCUAUCCUACUGAGUGAUCCAACUUUCAAAUCCAAUUGGAAAGCUCCUUUG
rnacentral:lncRNA from 1 species